UGCGUAGGGUGCGAGCGUUGUCCGGAAUUAUUGGGCGUAAAGGGCUCGUAGGCGGUUUGUCGCGUCGGGAGUGAAAACUCAGGGCUUAACCCUGAGCCUGCUUCCGAUACGGGCAGACUAGAGGUAUGCAGGGGAGAACGGAAUUCCUGGUGUAGCGGUGAAAUGCGCAGAUAUCAGGAGGAACACCGGUGGCGAAGGCGGUUCUCUGGGCAUUACCUGACGCUGAGGAGCGAAAGUGUGGGGAGCGAACAGG
rnacentral:rRNA from 1 species